rnacentral:rRNA from 1 species
AACGAACGCUGGCGGCGUGCCUAACACAUGCAAGUCGAGCGAGAAAGUAGCAAUACGAGUAAAGCGGCGGACGGGUGAGUAACGCGUAGGUAAUCUACCCUUCAGUGGGGAAUAACGUUCCGAAAGGAACGCUAAUACCGCAUAUGGAUGACAGUCGUUGGAUUGUCAUGCAAAGGGGGCUCUCGCAAGAGGCUCUCGCUGAUGGAUGAGCCUGCCGUCCCAUUAGGUAGUUGGUGAGGUAAAGGCUCACCAAGCCGACGAUGGGUAGCUGGUCUGAGAGGACGACCAGCCACACUGGAACUGACACACGGUCCAGACUCCUACGGGAGGCAGCAGUGGGGAAUAUUGCGCAAUGGAGGAAACUCUGACGCAGCGACGCCGCGUGGGUG